CUGUGUGAGUCGAAUUGCAACUGCACGGCUGCCUUCUAUAGUGACCGGGCCUGCUUUCUCGUGCAUGGAGACGUGCAAUCACUUCGAACUGGACAAUACGUUGCGUUAUUGAAAGUUGCACAGCCACGAAAGAAUUCCAGGAAGCACGUCCAGGCCAUCACCUUGGGAGUACUUAUUCCAACAGUCGUCCUACUGAUAGUAAGCCUCGGAUGGCGCUGCCGGAGGAACAAGGAAGAUGACGACGAGGGAGAAGAAGAAAGCACCUUGCAGCUCUCUCUCAUGGCUGGCAUGCCGAGGCGUUUUAGUUACCAGGAGCUCCAGCAAGUCACAGGGAACUUCAGUGACAGACUGGGAAGCGGAGGAUAUGGAAGCGUGUUCAAAGGAAAACUUACCGAUGGAACUGAAGUCGCUGUGAAGAAACUUGAAGGCUCCAAUCAGAGGAGCAAAGAUUUUUUCGCCGAAGUUGGAAUCCUAGCCAGGACGCACCACUGGAACCUCGUCAAGCUGCUGGGAUUCUGUGCCCAAGGUCCCAGGAAAAGGCUCCUUGUGUACGAAUAUAUGAAGAACGGGUCCCUGGAGCGAUGGAUAUUUGAAGACGAUAGAAAGCCUGGCAGUUUUACAUGGGACGUUAGAUACAACAUUGCCUUGGGCACAGCAAGAGGAUUGAGUUACUUACAUGACGACUGCGCUGAGAGGAUCAUCCACCUGGACCUGAAGCCGGAGAAUGUGCUCGUCGACGAUGGUUUCCAGCCGAAGAUAGCCGACUUCGGAUUGUCCAAGCUCAUGGACAGGAAGGAAAGCCAGCUACAACUGACAAUUGCGAGAGGCACCCCUGGAUACGUCGCACCCGAGUGUGUUCAGGAAGGAACGGUGACUGAGAAAACCGACGUUUUCGGCUACGGGGUACUGCUGCUCGAGAUGUUAACAGGUUGCAAGAACAGGAACCUCUCAAGUGAUUACCUGAAGGACUUCUUGUUAGUCAGUGGACAGAACGACAGUGCUGCUGCUCACCUCCAUCAAGACGAGAAGAAAAGAGAAAGAUUGAAGAACGUUGCAGCCUUGUGCGUCCAAGACGAUCCAGAUUUACGGCCCUCGAUGAGCAACGUGGUACAAAUGAUACUGGGAGUUACUGAGCUGCCUCAAAUGCCCUCGCGAUCACAGCUGAAUUUCUUUCUUGCUUACAGAUCCAAAGAGCACUUGAACAGGAGCUCAGGCUCGGACGUCUCGCAUAGGAGUUUUGAUAAGUUGCUGGAUUCAUCGAUGUCAUCGACGUCAUUUGCAAUUUUCUCACAAAAUAGUGGUCGAUAGUUAAACCGGAGUAUAAUUUAAACGUAGGUAUAGUAUUGCCUCUGAAAAUCACAAAAUUUGUUGAGGUUCAUUCUUUGUCAAAGAAGUAAAAAUAUACCUUCGGAGGAAGUAUUUCGUCCUUGUUCAACAAGAGAAUCGCCGAUCACAAUGCUUCUAGGAGUUUUGGGUUUGGUGGUUCAGAAUCGUGUUCUUCGUUCCCUACGUCGCAGCGUCGCGCAGUGUUUCUUGCCAAGAAAAAUGAAAAGUCGCUGUUAGACUCCGCAAACCAUUACUAAACAAUACCUCACACAUGGUCACAUUGCAGUGCCGCAUUGAAUAGCAAUUAGCGUUGAAACAGUCCCGACGAGACAAUUUCCUGGCAUUACUAAAACUCAACGAUGAACAGCGGCACAAACUAUUCCUUAUCAGCUGUGUAAACGCGAACGAAUAGAUAACUUUAGUCAUACGUACUUGCGGAAAGACUUCUUCAAAGCUAAUGCUUCGAGUCGCUGGAACUCCCGAGUAUGUGAGCGCGCUCUCCAGCAACACAAGCCAUGGCUAGCAGAGAGCUGUACUUCCUCGUCUCGUUGGUCUUCAUCCUUCGCUCUGCUCAAGCGGCACAGGAAUUUCACCACCAAAAUAGAUGGUCCUUUGUAUCCGCUUGAUCCAUACGGUUUGAGUGGCCGCUACGCUGGUUUACGGUCAAAUUAUAGCGACAUAGGUAUCAGCAAGGACAUGAGUUACCAGGUGUGGAUGCUGAGUUAUAACGCUGAAACGCCAAAAUCGUUUUUCCUGGCACUCAUUGCCAUCCAAAAUCCAAGGGAGUUUUGGGAUCUCACAAGACCGGUCAUCCUGUGGAAGGCCAGACAGACGAGGCUUGUAGGUGAGAAUGCCACUUUAGAAUUUACCACAGAUGGAGAGCUUAAAGUCGAAGAAGACGGUGAUGUCGUAUGGUCCACGAAAACUGCAAACAGAGGCGACCGGUGGCUCUGCAUUUCCAAUCGCGCAACCAUAAUGCUCCUGGACGAAAGCGGAAGCAAUGUCAUCUGGCAAAGCAGCGACGAACCUUCUGAUACUGUGCUGUUGCAACGAGCACUUACGCCGGGACAAAAGCUCGUAAGUUUCAAUACUUCAGAAGACAGCAGCGAUGACAGUCUCGUCAUGGAGAAAAGCAGGCUGCAACUGUUGUACGCCUCGCAACCGUAUUGGAGUUUCGGUAAUAUUGGCAGCGAGGAAAACAUGUUUGCGGUGUUUUGCUGGCAAAACGAUGGUAACGUGUCUCUGGAUCUGCGAGCCAACUUCUCACAGAUUGAAACGAAGCGUGAUGACUUGGGCUUAGUGUUUUCCUGGUCAUGUUCCAGUCGAGGUUUAAAAGACCAAGUGAUGGAGUUGCCAAUAGAUGGGUCACAGCUCACGCCCUCCACUUUCAUAAAGCUGAAACCGGACGGGGAUGUCGUCUUGUACUCCUGGAAUUGGACGGGUACAAACUGGAUAGAUUUCUUCAGGUUUUCGACUCUCUUCAAGUGCUUUCUUCCAAGUGGAUGUGGAAGAUACAGAACCUGCAAUUCAGCAUCAGGCGCAUGCGAGGAAACUUGUCCAGAUACCUUUGCAAGAAGAGGUGAAGACUGCCAGCCACCAUAUCCCCUAGAGACAUGCGAAGACCAGCUCGAGUAUCGAUUCGUUCGAAGAGAGGGAGCUGAUUACUUCUCCACAAAUUAUUCCACUCCAGUUCCUGAAGCAUCAGUGGAGGCGUGUCAGGGGCGAACUUUCCAUGUGAGUCGAACUGCACCUGCACGGCGGCCUUUUAUAAUGACGGGAUCUGCUUUCUCACGCACGGCGACGUGCAGUCACUCCGAUCUGGGAAGUACGUUGCUCUGCUGAAAGUUGCCCGCCCUCGAAAGGUUUCCAAGACGCAACUCCAGGCCAUCACAUUGGGAGUACUUGUUCCAACACUGUUCCUGCUGAUAGUCCGUCUCGGAUGGCACUGCCGGAGGAGAAAUACGCAUGAUGACGACGAGGGAGAAGAAGAAAGCACCUUGCAGCUAUCCCUCAUGGCGGGUAUGCCCAGGCGCUUCAGUUUCCAGGAGCUUGAAGAAGUCACAGGGAAGUUCAGCAACUGCCUCGGGAAUGGGGGAUUCGGAAACGUUUUCAAAGGAUUACUUGCCGAUGGCACUGAAGUUGCUGUGAAGAAGCUCGAAGGCUCGAACCACAGAAGUAAGGACUUUUUUGCGGAAGUUGGAAUUCUAGCCAGGACGCACCACUGGAACCUCGUCAAGCUGCUGGGAUUCUGUGCGCAAGGGCCCAGGAAAAGGCUCCUUGUGUACCAGUAUAUGAAGAAUGGCUCCCUAGAGCGGUGGAUAUUUGAAGACGACAGAAUUCCUGGGAAUAUUUCGUGGAAACUUAGAUUCAACAUCCCAAUAGGCACAGCGAGAGGAUUGAACUACUUACGUGUUGAAAGGAUAAUCCACCUGGAUCUGAAGCCGGAGAACGUACUCCUCGACGAUGGUUUCCAGCCGAAGAUAGCAGACUUCGGAUUGUCCAAGCUCAUGAACAGGAAGGAAAGCCAGUUGCAGCUGACGAUUACGAGAGGCACCCCUGGCUACGUUGCACCGGAGUGUAUUCAGGAAGGAACGGUGACUGAAAAAACAGAUGUUUUCGGCUUCGGGGUUCUGCUGCUCGAGAUCAUAACAGGCUGCAAGAACAGGAACCUCUCAGGCGAUUACCUGAAGGACUACUUGUUGGUUAGUAACAGAAACGGUAGUGCCGCUGCUCACCUCUCUGAAGAAGAGAACGAAAAGGAAAGAUUGAAGAAUGUUGCGGCGUUGUGUGUUCGAGACGAUCCAAACUUACGGCCCUCGAUGAGCAAGGUUAUACAGAUGAUGGAAGGAGUUACCGAGCUGCUUCAAGUACCUUUGGAAUCGGAGCUGAAUUUCUUUUUCGCUUACAGACCCAAAGAUCAGCUUAGCAGAACCGCAGCCUCGAACGUGAAUUAUAGGAGUUCUGAUAAGUUGCUGAACUCAUCUUCCUCGUUUACUGCCUUCUCACAAUCUAGCCUGAAUGCCCGAUGAAAUUAUACGUUACAACAUUGAACGAAAAAUAUACCUUCGUUGAUUCGCUACUGCUGAAACUGUUGCGCUAAGCCAAAAACAAUGUAGCUGCAAUAUCAUUGAAUCAUCAACCUCCAAAGAAGAACAGUUAUAUCUUCUCCUAUUUGAGUUCCAGAUACUCAUAAAGGAAAUUCGUCGUCGAAGUCUGUAGAAAAAUCGUCAAUCAGUACGUGAUUCAAAACUAGAAAUUAUAAGAAACCGUUUCGAGCUUCGGCUUUCAGCAAUAGCAGGCUACAAAAAGAAAAACCUCGCGAAAUAUCCUGAAAAGCUCCAUCAGGAACACAAGAAAAGAGAAAGAUUGCCAAUCGUCAUUGCAAUGUGGGGUAAAAAGGCAAUAUUGAGCUUAAAAUCGCAGGUGAUCUUGAGAGAAAAGGAUGGAGCUCCCUCAUAAGAGUUUCGAAAAGAUGCUGAAACUAUCAAUAUCGUUCAAGGAUUUGCCACAACACGAGUCCAUCUAGAGCACAAAAAAAGGAAUAGCAAUAUUCUUAGCUUGAAGACCAAAAUUUACCAAACGAUGGACAGCGUCUCCCUGGAGCUAACACAGUUGGAGCACAACGUAAGCGCAUCACAGCACACUCUUCCUCUAUCAACGAACAGCGACCAAAGUGUGAGCGUCCAUCUAAAGCCAAAGGAAUUCUUUGUCUAGGCGAAAUAUAUCUCAGAUUUCACGGAUCUUCUGUGACGAGCUCCAGCGCCAAGAAAAAGAAAUCGCGCCAUGGCAUUGCAUUCUACAAAUUGCGAGGUUACUCAGCCGCAAGAAUCGAAACUGGAGAAAGCAAACUCAAUGAAUGAAACAUCACCUCAAAGAUCCACCAAAAUGCUCGAUCAAUGCAACAUUGCGCCGACCUCCACGGAAAUGCGAUGUUAAAGCUCUCGAUCGGCAGAAAUCCAUGAGCCAUUCAUAAACCCUAGAACACAAACCCACUUUAAGAGGCCUUAACAGGUCCCGC
rnacentral:lncRNA from 1 species